rnacentral:rRNA from 1 species
UACGGAGGGUGCAAGCGUUGUCCGGAAUCACUGGGCGUAAAGGGCGCGUAGGCGGCUCAUGAAGGCUGUGGUGAAAGUCCGGGGCUCAACCUCGGAUCGGCCGUGGCGACUCGUGGGCUGGAGCACUGUAGAGGCGGGUGGAAUUCCGGGUGUAGCGGUGGAAUGCGUAGAGAUCCGGAAGGACACCAGUGGCGAAGGCGGCCCGCUGGGCAGUGGCUGACGCUGAGGCGCGACAGCGUGGGGAGCAAACAGG